rnacentral:tRNA from 1 species
GGCUCCGUAGCUCAAUGGUGGAGCAAGCGACUCAUAAUCGCCAGGUUACAGGUUCGAACCCUGUCGGAGCCA